rnacentral:lncRNA from 1 species
AGAUUGGAAACAAUCUUUUUUCUUUUCGUCAUCGAUUAACUUUUAACGUUAAAGAUCUCGUUUAAAAGUUUAGAAAUGAGUCACGUUUAGUUAUUUGAUAUUCAACAUGCUGAUAAUUGAAACCUUGUACACGAUAAAAAACAAUCGAUUCGCAAAAAGAAAAUAGACAAACAAAAAUAUGCAAAAUUGAUAAAGAUUUGUCUCAAUAUGAGAUCACAUAAUUUUCUGUCGCCACCGUAUUUCUUACAAGAGAAAAUCCCACACCUUAUCUUCUCUACCCCUCUCUCUCUCUUUCUAAUAAUUGAACAAAAUCCUAAUCAUGGGCGGGGAGUUUCCUUCGUCUUUCCAAUCCCACGACUACUUUACCUUUGAGGUCGAUUUGUGUACUGGCUCCGCACCAUGACAAUAAUUAAACUCUACGACUUAAUGAACACAUCUCUCUCGAUUGCAAGUUCAGUUCAUUUUUUAAUUAGUUACACAAUUGAAAUGUAGUUGUUUCGCG